UACAGAGGGUGCAAGCGUUAAUCGGAAUUACUGGGCGUAAAGCGAGCGUAGUCGGUUAUUUAAGUCGGAUGUGAAAUCCCCGGGCUCAACCUGGGAAUUGCAUUCGAAACUGGAUAGCUAGAGUUCGGCAGAGGGAAGCGGAAUUUCUGGUGUAGCGGUGAAAUGCGUAGAUAUCAGAAGGAACAUCAGUGGCGAAAGCGGCUUCCUGGACCAGAACUGACGAUCAGGCUCGAAAGCGUGGGGAGCGAACAGG
rnacentral:rRNA from 1 species